rnacentral:rRNA from 1 species
GGUGAACGCUGGCGGCGUGCCUAAUACAUGCAAGUCGAGCGAACAGACGAGGAGCUUGCUCCUCUGACGUUAGCGGCGGACGGGUGAGUAACACGUGGAUAACCUACCUAUAAGACUGGGAUAACUUCGGGAAACCGUAGCUAAUACCGGAUAAUAUAUUGAACCGCAUGGUUCAAUAGUGUAAGAUGGUUUUGCUGUCACUUAUAGAUGGAUCCGCGCCGCAUUAGCUAGUUGGUAAGGUAACGGCCUACCAAGGCAACGAUGCGUAGCCGACCUGAGAGGGUGAUCGGCCACACUGGAACUGAGACACGGUCCAGACUCCUACGGGAGGCAGCAGUAGGGAAUCUUCCGCGAUGGGCGGAAGCCUGACGGAGCAACGCCGCGUGAGUGAUGAAGGUCUUCGGAUCGUAAAACUCUGUUAUUAGGGAAGAACAAAUGUGUAAGUAACUAUGCACGUCUUGACGGUACCUAAACAGAAAGCCACGGCUAACUACGUG